rnacentral:misc_RNA from 1 species
UAUAGGUCUCGCGCCAAACACGUUAUAAUCUAUCUCACGUGCUCAUCCAUCAAAAUCACGUGACAUCUCCAACUGCCAAUUAAAGAAGCGGAGAAAGUAGAAGCCUAAAUGAUCUUUUAAAAAAUUGACUGAUUUUGUUUUCUUAUUUAUUUUUUCUUAUAAAUUCAGACAAAUUUCUACCUACAAUUUACACAAAAUGCCAUUCCAACAACAACCAAAUUGAAAAUUCACGACGGAGACCGGUGGUUCCUAUCGAGAAACCCCUCCAAAACCACUCUCUUCUUGUACUCCUCCGAGUUGAAAUCCGGUUCGCUUGAAACCAAACCAUUUUUCACGGUUCCAUUCAGACUCGGUUUAACCUCGGCGGUUAACCGAGGAAAGAAAUAUAACCAUGCACACGUACAAAGAAUCGCACAAAACCGACCCAAUAAUAACAUUGUGAUCAGAGUCACCAUCACAAUUGACAUGCCAAUCACUGGGUCGAAUUUUUUAUCGAUUGCUCCAUUUUCUUUUCUAACCCUUUUAGCACUUACCCGUGAUUUUCCCGGCAGGUUUGGUGCCGGCAAAGAUGUCGAUCGGAGAACGGCGGUUCCAUGGGACCUGAGCUCCGGUGAAAUGGGUUGGCUGGAACUAACUCUUGCAGAGUCUAUUUUCCGGCUGAAAGACAACUGUUUAGAAGAAUCCAUCACAGGAUCCAAAAGUUUCCCAUCUUCAAGGAUGAUGUUCUGUUCAGAACCAUGCUUUGUCUCUUGAGGUCUGUCUUCAGUAGCUUGAUCUGAAGCAGUAUCAACUUCAGGGGCUGCCGGAAUCUUAUUUUGGGCUGCCGGAUUUUUACGUUUUGAGGGGAUCUCAUCGGAGGGUUUCAGCUUCGGUUUUGAAUUCCUUAGCUUAGUCUUUCGAGUCUGUAGUUUCUCUGAUAUAGUAGAGUAGUCGACAUGAAGAGUUUUGAUGCCGGAUUGUUUCAAGAGAAACGUCGUUGACCGGGAAAACCAAUUAUGCUUGUGAACAGUUUGUACAAUUUUUACUGUUUUUUUCUUGGAAACAUGCAGUUUCCCGGAAAAUCCAAAACAACCCAGAUAGAGGGUCGUUUUGGCCUUGGGUUUUGGUUGCUGCUUCUCGUCCAUAACAGAGACGAAUCACCGAGGACUUUGAAGAAUAAAGACUGGGAACGGUUGGCAUAAUUGUUUGGAUCACUAUUUGUAGAUAAGAAAUGGGUGUGUAAUAGUGAAAAUAAUGAAAA